CCCAGUUACCUGCCGCGAUCCCGGUGUCCUGCCGCGACACCUGCGGCCCCCUCUGUCCCGCAGGCACCUGCGGCCCUGGCGGAGCGCGCCGCGGGCGGCCGUGCCUCCCGCGCUCGGCACCGCGGGCCGGGCGGGCACGGGAGCUCGCUCUCCCCCGGGACCGCCGCCCUCGCCCAACCCUUUGGCUAGCGGGCUCCGGAAGAAAUCCAGACGGGAGAUCGGUAGCUAAUCUGUUAGUGUGACUGCCGCCGUUGCGGUCGGUGGCUUAAACGCAAACCCCGAACUCGCAUCUAUAGUGCCGCAGAGUUUGAAAGGCGCACAGUCGUUUUAUUUAUUUGUGAAGUCGACUUCUAAAAUGUCACAAGUGUGUCCCUGCUGGGGAAGUUCGAUUGAGUUCAACACUGCAGUCUUACAGUCUUUAAACAAGGGGGUUAAAUCCUUCUGUGUUUACACGCUGCUUGCUGGGAACACGCACGGCUUCUGUUUUAAGAUGGGAAGGGUUUAGUGUUUAGAUUUGACUACGUGUCCUAUGCGUUUGAGAACUGCCUUACAGUAUACCGGAGAUAAGAAUUUAAAUGUGGCUGUUUUAAUUUUUCCAUCAGUCAUGGAUCUGAAACGGGAUUGUUGGUGUUUGCACCUACUCCCCUUUGUGUUCCAGAAAGAGUUUUAAGUUGCUGCUGGGAAAAGGGAUUUCCACUACUGUUGUAUGCUCCAUCAUGAAGCUGUCGUGGUGCUUGAUGUUCCUGUUUACCUUACCAUAGCCUCAGUGUCAGCUAGAUGAAGACGAUGAGGAUUAUUUUUUGUGAUAUGGAAUGAGUUGCACAGCAUACUUUAGAGAGAUUCUUCAGCUAUCAUACUAAUGUAAAAAAUAACAACUUUAA